GGAGGUACGGCUCAGUGGUAGAGCACUAGCCUGGGAAACAGAAGGCCCUGAGUUCAAGCCUCAGUACUGCUA
rnacentral:tRNA from 1 species